UACGUAGGGGGCGAGCGUUGUCCGGAAUCAUUGGGCGUAAAGAGCGUGUAGGCGGUUCGGUAAGUCCGCCGUGAAAACCUGGGGCUCAACCCCGGGCGUGCGGUGGAUACUGCCGGGCUAGAGGAUGGUAGAGGCGAGUGGAAUUCCCGGUGUAGCGGUGAAAUGCGUAGAUAUCUGGAGGAACACCAAUGGCGGAGGCAGCUCGCUGGGACGUGACUGACGCUGAGACGCGAAAGCGUGGGGAGCAAACAGG
rnacentral:rRNA from 1 species